rnacentral:rRNA from 1 species
GGAUUCAAGCGUUAUCCGGAUUUAUUGGGUUUAAAGGGUUGCGUAGGCGGUUUGAUAAGUUAGAGGUGAAAUAUCGGGGCUUAACUCCGAAACUGCCUCUAAUACUGUUAGACUAGAGAAUAGUUGCGGUAGGCGGAAUGUAUGGUGUAGCGGUGAAAUGCUUAGAGAUCAUACAGAACACCGAUUGCGAAGGCAGCUUACCGGGGUACAACUGACGCUGAGGCACGAAAGUGUGGGUAUC